AAUGUCUCACAGAUAGCUAUGCAAGCAUCUCCUGCUCUCGCAUUAUUUCUCUAAAAUCUCGAAUGGCAAACAAUCCAAGAGGUACCCGAUCUAUCACUGAGUUUCUACAUGAUAUGAAGAAUAUUGAAGAUGACCUUGCUCUAGCUUAGAAUCCGGUUGAUGAGGAAGACUUAAUAGUUCACAUAUUAGGACAGCUAGGUGACGAUUACACACACAUAGCCUCAGCUUCAAAGAUUCGUGAAACUCCUAUCAAAUACCCAGAUCUCUUUGAAAAAUUGCUUGAUCACGAAAGGACUCUGAAAGACACACAUACGUCCUCUGUUAUCACAACAGUCAACAAUACCCAAAAAUCCAACAAUCGAUAUUCAUCAAAAUCCUUCUAUGACAACCGCAAUCAACCUAAAUUCAACAACAACAACUCAGGCAACAAUUUUCGAUCCAACUCAGGCCCCAAUCGUUCGUCUGGUCAGUACAACGGAGGUAACAACUUCAACAGAGGUAAUAGAAACAAUAGCUACUGCCAAUUUUGCAAUAUCCCUGGACAUGAUACUAAAGAAUGCAGGAAGCUUACUCGGUUUCUUAGAGAAAACAACAUCAGUAUUAACACCUCUACCAAUCCCACAGUCAACUCUAUAGCAACUUCCUCCCCAACCACAGCAGCUCCAUGGAUGUUUGAUAGCGGGGCAUCUCAUCAUGUGGCAUCCACUCUAGCCUCAUUCCACACCCUGUCAGAAUAUGGCGGACCAGACGAAAUCGUGUUAGGAAACGGUAAAGGAUUAUCCAUCUCUCAUAUUUGUCAUUCUUCCCUUCCUACUUCUUCCCGUCCGUUAAAUUUACAUAAUGUGCUAUUUGUUCCUUAGUUGCGUAAUAACCUUAUUUCAGUGGCUAAACUAUGCAAAACUAACAAAGUUUCUGUGGAUUUUUUUCCCUCUUUCUUUCUUGUUAAGGACCUACGCACGGGCACAAUUCUCAUGCGGGGCACAAACAUCAAUGAUGUCUACUCUGCAGCCAUUUGCUCCCUUCGUCAACUUCCAAGAGUUAACUCCACGGUCUCCUCAAGUAAGUCGGUCACCUCCUGGCACCAUAAGCUUGGUCACCCAUCGGUCAAGAUUUUCAAGUGUCUUCUAGCUCGUUUAGGACUCUCUUGUAAUAAACAUUCAGAUGUUUCUUUUCAUUGUGAUUCGUGCUCUAUAAAUAAAAGCCACAAAUUACCCUUUGGGCCAAAUUCUUUUACUGCCACCAAACCUUUGCAACUCGUAUAUUCUGAUGUUUGGGGACCGGUACAAACUUCCAACGAUGGUUUUUCCUAUUAUGUCACCUUUGUCGAUUUUUAUUCAAGAUACAUUUGGCUUUAUCCAAUGAAACAAAAAUCUGAAGUCUCCACCCUGUUUCCUCAAUUUCGCAGCCUAGUUGAAAAAUUCUACAAUACCCCUCUCAUCUCCCUCUUCACUGAUAAUGGAGGAGAGUUUCUCAAACUUGCCUCAUACCUCAAACAAAAUGGCAUUUCUCACUUCACUACACCACCUCAUACCCCUGAACAGAAUGGGAUUGCUAAGAGACGACACAGACAUAUAGUUGAAACCGGGCUUUCACUUCUUCAUCAUGCCAACUUGCCUCUCUCCUUUUGGACUCAUGCUUUUCAAACAGCAGUCCAUCUUAUAAACUGAAUGCCCACCCAAGUUCUUAAUUUCAAAUCUCCUUAUGACAAACUACACAAUACUCCACCCAUAUACAAGAAGCUAAAACCAUUCGGAUGUCUCUGUUAUCCGUGGUUGCGACCUUAAUCCCUAACCAAGCCUCAUCCCCGGUCUACAAAGUGUAUUUUCCUUGGCUACUCGAUCUCGAAAUCAGCCUACAAGUGUUAUGAACCCACUACUCACAAACUUUACCACUCCCUCCAUGUCGAAUUUAUUGAGCACAUUUUCCCAUACCAGAAUGAACCCGAAACUCCUCUGCCCAAACCGAAUGAGUUUUGCAUCUAUCUGAACCCAAAAAAUGAUAACACCACCAACUCAUCCAUCCCUCCCUGCUGCCCUACACCAUCUCCUACACAACAAAUACCCAUCCAAAUUCCAUCCAUACCCUCCACACCAGCUACACCAUCACCUAGUACACCAACAACCCAAAAACAACCAAUCUGAUCCAGCCUCACCUCAAACAACACCACAACAACCACCCUUAUCCUCACCUGCUCAGUCAUCCCCUUCCUCGGUUCAAUCCCCUAACCCUUCUCCUCCUCCAUCACCACCACCACCUCACCGACCUCGCAAACCUAACCCAAAGUAUUACAACAACAAUCUCGUAAACACUACUACCCUUCAUCCUAUACCACCUACCCUCGAACCUUCCACCCAAAAUCAAGCACUAAAAGAUCCCAAAUGGAGGAGUGCCAUGGAUUCUAAAUUCAAUGCACUUUUACAAAACCAAACUUGGGAGCUGGUUCCGUUAGCCUCUCACAAACCUAUUGGCUGCAAAUGGGUCUUCCGAAUAAAACGCAACCCAGAUGGCUCUAUAUCAAAAUACAAAGCCCGUCUCGUAGCAAAGGGAUUUCUUCAAAAAUAUGGGAAAGAUUAUUUUGACACGUUUAGCCCGGUCACCAAACCCGUCACUAUUUAAACAAUCCUCUCCAUAGCCUUAUCAAACAACUGGCCACUACGCCAACUAGAUGUCAACAAUGCCUUCCUACAUGGCGCAUUGCAUGAAGAAGUAUUUAUGUCUCAACCACCUGGAUACAUUCACCCUCAAUACCCGGAUCACAUCUGCAAAUUAAAAAAAAUCCAUUUACGGUCUCAAGAAAGCUCCACGAGCUUGGUAUAUUGAACUUGCCAACUUUCUCCUCACCUUUGGUUUUCGAAAAUCUCAAGCUGAUGCAUCUCUUUUCAUCUAUUCCCAUCAAACCAUCAUAUGCUACUUCAUGGUUUAUGUCGAUGAUAUUAUCU
rnacentral:lncRNA from 1 species